rnacentral:tRNA from 1 species
CGGGGCGUAGCGCAGCCCGGUAGCGCACCUGCUUUGGGAGCAGGGGGUCGCUGGUUCGAAUCCAGUCGCCCCGAC